rnacentral:rRNA from 1 species
CGGCAACAGCUCAAAUUUGAAAUCUGGUCCUUUCAGGGCCCGAGUUGUAAUUUGGAGAGGAUGCUUCGGCUGCGGCCCUGGUCUAAGUUCCUUGGAACAGGACGUCACAGAGGGUGAGAACCCCGUAUGUGGCUGGGUGCCUACGCCAUGUGAAGCUCCUUCGAC